GUGGAGUCCACCCAAUCCCGCGGCGACUCGGGCUCCUCGGCAGUUAAACGGAAGUGCCCACCCUACCAACAAUAUGACGACGAUUACGACGACGACGACGGCACUGGUUCAAACUCUCACAACGGAAUCAACUCAUCAUGGAACAGCCUUUCUGAGGAUGUCGUGCAUCAUAUACAUGCCCUAAUGCCGCUGCGAGACGCCGCACUUGCUGCGUGCGUGUCUCGGUCAUUUCGACGUUCCUGGAGACACUAUCCCAAUCUCACCUUCGGUAUGAAACAACUCGGUUUGAUUGGAAAAGCAGCCACGGUGGACGAAGGAGCAAUGGAUCUUCUAAGCAGAAUUGACCAUAUCUUUGGAAAUCAUUCAGGCAUCGGAGUGAAGACGCUUGAGCUUCACCUCCCCUGGAACUGGAACAGACUCGACACCUCUUACGUCGACAGGUUCCUCAAGACUGCCAUUGCACCCGGUAUCCAAGAACUCACCGUGAUGCUGCCCUCAUUCCGGCACUGCAGAACAGACUACAACUUCCCGUGCUCGCUUUUAUCAGGCGAGAGCGGGCGGUCGAUUCGGUAUCUUAAACUCACCAAUUCUAGUUUCCAUCCCACCGCCGGACUUGGUUGCCUGACGAGAUUGCACCUGCGGUCCGUGCGCAUCGGUGACGAUGAGUUGGGGUACUUCCUUUCUAAUUCUUUGGCUUUGAGGCAUCUGCUACUCUCUUGUUGUGGUGAGAUCAUCUGCUUGAAGAUACCUUGCCUGCUGCGGCACCUCAGGUCCGUGGAGGUGUUUGAGUGUGAGAUGCUACAUGCAAUUGAGAGCAAUGCCCCAGAUAUCUCUAGUGUCGACCUUGGACUUGGCGACCAAGUGGAUUUCUCAGUCUCACUGGGAGACGGUUCAUCUCAAGUGAAGCAGCUCCGAAUAUCACCUGCAUCCCCAAGUUAUGCUCUCGGCAAGCUUCCAUCAAUCACACCCGGUGUUGAAGUCCUUAACAUAUCGUUGUUGCCACACGAGGUGAGCACACCAAUGGUGCCCGGAAAAUUCCACCACCUCAAGUACUUGAAUAUUUCUCUUCCCGCUGUCUCGGCAGUAGAUGAAUAUGAUUAUUUGUCUCUGUUAGCUUUUCUUGACGCUUCUCCUGCCUUGGAGACUCUCGUCUUGAGGUCAGCGAGGAUUAUGAACUGUGUUAACAGAGGCUGCGGUAGGAUUCAUUGUGAUGUUUCACAUUUGACGCGGGAGCAAGAAUUUCGCCAUGGCAGCCUCAAGAAUGUGACGAUCUAUAGUUUUUACUCUGCUGAAAGCUUGAUUGAGCUAACCUGUCGUAUGCUGAAGCACACAGCUUCGCUUGAGUGCCUGACGCUGGACACCACCUAUGGUUACUCUAGGUGUUCCUCAUGCAGAAGCGGCAGGUGCUUCUCCAUGGACACGCGUGAUGUCCUACAAGCCCAGAAAGCGCUCGUGGCUAUAAGAAGACGCAUCAAGCCCCAAGUACCCUGUAAUGUCAACUUGAUUGUUGUGGAGCCUUGCAGUUCGUGUCAUGUG
rnacentral:rRNA from 1 species